rnacentral:rRNA from 1 species
CGUGUAGGCGGCCAGAUAAGUCAGAUGUGAAAGCCCGGGGCUCAACCCCGGAAGUGCAUUUGAUACUGUUUGGCUUGAGUGCGGGAGAGGAAAGCGGAAUUCCCAGUGUAGAGGUGAAAUUCGUAGAUAUUGGGAGGAACACCGGUGGCGAAGGCGGCUUUCUGGACCGACACUGACGCUGAGGCGCGAAAGCGUGGGGAGCAAACA